CACGCAUCGCCCACACCUGUGCCGUGCACCGACACCUGUGCCACGCAUCGCCCACACCUGUGCUGUGCACCAACACCUGUGCCACGCAUCGCCCACACCUGUGCCGUGCACCGACACCUGUGCCACGCAUCGCCCACACCUGUGCUGUGCACCAACACCUGUGCCACGCAUCGCCCACACCUGUGCCGUGCACCGACACCUGUGCCACCCAUCACCGACACCUGUGCCAUGCACCGACGCCUGUGCCACGCAUCGCCCACACCUGUGCCACGCAUCGCCCACACCUGUGCUGUGCACCAACACCUGUGCCACGCAUCGCCCACACCUGUGCCACCCAUCACCAACACCUGUGCCGUGCACCAACACCUGUGCCACGCAUCGCCCACACCUGUGCCACGCAUCGCCCACACCUGUGCCACGCAUCGCCCACACCUGUGCCGCGCACCGACACCUGUGCUGUGCACAAACAUCUGUGCCGCGCACCUGUGCACCUGGAUGCCUCUGACAUCGGCCCGCGCCCCAUUAAAGCACCCGCCACAGCCUCUGCCCUCCCGGCUCCUCUGAAGGAGCCAGACCCUUCAGCCGUCGGGGAGACUUUCUCAUUUCCUCAUCCCAGCGAAGAACAAACCCGGGGGCUCCGUUCCCGCAAAACCUCUGGGUACCCAGCCUCCUCCUGUCACCUCCGCUGCUGUCCCCCGGGCCAAGCCACUCUUCACCCGGAGGGCAGCUUCCUGUCUCCCUUCUUCCCUGUUUAACUUUCUGUCCUUCGGCUGAAUGUCCUCCACAUGCCUGUUGGAACUCCAAAAAUGAGAGAGUUUUACCCCCAUCCUUGUUCAGAGUCUCCACAGACCUCCUAUCGAUUUCUUGCCAUGGCUUGCUUUCACACCUGAGCCCUGGCCUCUCCUCUUGUCCCUUCGUUUACUGUGGCAGCCACAGAGGCCUUGGUCCUCCUUCUGGAAACUUCUGGGCACCUUCCUCUUGCUGCUGCAGUGGUACCCGUGCUGUCUC
rnacentral:lncRNA from 1 species